rnacentral:rRNA from 1 species
UACGGAGGGGGCUAGCGUUGUUCGGAAUUACUGGGCGUAAAGCGCACGUAGGCGGCUUUGUAAGUUAGAGGUGAAAGCCCAGGGCUCAACCCUGGAAUUGCCUUUAAGACUGCAUCGCUUGAACAUCGGAGAGGUAAGUGGAAUUCCGAGUGUAGAGGUGAAAUUCGUAGAUAUUCGGAAGAACACCAGUGGCGAAAGGCGACUUACUGGACGAUUUGUUGACGCUGAGGGUGCGAAAGCGUGGGGGAGCAAAACAGG